UUAAGUAGCCACGGGUGUCAACUUACCGAGAUCCGUCUGAUCUCGGAAGCUAAGCAGGGUCGGGUCUGGUUAGUACUUGGAUGGGAGACCGCCUAGGAAGACCAGGUGCUGUAGGCA
rnacentral:rRNA from 1 species